UCGGUAGUAUCGUAAACUUAGUUUUGUCGAUUAAUAUACAGUUAACUGUUCUCGUGAUAACGUACUUGACAUGUAAUGUCGCGCAAUUUAAGAGAGGCAAAAUUUUAUAGCAUUAACGUAUAUUCUAAGAAAUGAGAUCAUACGAUUCUUGAAUGACAAAUUUUUUCACGUAACUACUUAAUAAACCAGGAAGUUCCGGUUUGCAUGGGCCAUUGUACUAUCGUUUCGUGCACGAGAGGAGAAAACAUAUUUCUACCGAUUUGUUAUUCGUCGAACUUGUCGUCGGAGGAAAUCUGUGGCUGGUACCCUUGGAAUAAUAAUUUCUCGAUCUUUGUAUACUUUCUGCUUUGGGAAAAACUUUUAUCCAAUCAUUUUAUCCGAUCACGACACUCAAGCUUUACAGAAAUUGUGACAAAUCAAAGAUUUAUGAUUAACAAUGUCAUCGAACAGAAAGGAAUUAUCAUUCGUCAUUAAUUUUUUAAUAAAUAAAUUAAGGUUAUAAGAUAAA